rnacentral:lncRNA from 1 species
AUUUCAGAUUAUAUAAAUAAGAAGAAAAUUUCUUCAAAACAUUUUUUGAGAGGAUUAAUAUUCAACAGCAUAGUGAAUUGCUCAAAGGCAAACAAAUAAUUUUAUAAGUUCAUUAGACCACAUUCAUUCUGUGUCAGAAACCUAUGCUGUGUCAACUAUUUUUAAAAUCACAAUCCAAAUUUAGAGCUGAAUCCAGCUUGAAUGUUGUGUCCAUACUUGCCCCUAC